rnacentral:lncRNA from 1 species
GGGGACUGAUUUUUAUCAGUACUAUCUGUUGAUUAUUUGAUACUAAUCUGGAUUUUUGUUUUUUUAUUUAUGUUCUUUAUUUUUCUUUUGGUUCUUAUUUUUGGUUCUGGAGUUUUACCAGGUAGUGCAUGAGCAGCUAUGGAGAUUUUUGAUAGCAUGGGCACUACAUGCUAUCAAUGGCCAGCCGAGAGGGUAUAUUUGAAGAAUGUUGCUGCAACCACAAGUUCUGAUUCGGUUACUUUGUUAGCCACUCAAAUCGCUGCAUUGACUUCUAAGAUAAAUGCUUUGAUUAUUGCUAAGAUGGAGUCAGCUGUGAAAAAUCCGAUGAUGAUGGAAGAGGCAAAUUUUGUCAGCAAUUUCAAUUUCAGGAAUUUUGAGCAGGGUGGAUUUCAAAGAGGACAGCAGGGAAACAAUCAGAGUUGGCAACAGUUCUAUCAUGGAGGGUGCCCGAAUAACGC